AGUGAACGCUGGCGGUAGGCCUAACACAUGCAAGUCGAACGGCAGCACAGGAGAGCUUGCUCUCUGGGUGGCGAGUGGCGGACGGGUGAGGAAUACAUCGGAAUCUACUCUGUCGUGGGGGAUAACGUAGGGAAACUUACGCUAAUACCGCAUACGACCUACGGGUGAAAGCAGGGGAUCUUCGGACCUUGCGCGAUUGAAUGAGCCGAUGUCGGAUUGGCUAGUUGGCGGGGUAAAGGCCCACCAAGGCGACGAUCCGUAGCUGGUCUGAGAGGAUGAUCAGCCACACUGGAACUGAGACACGGUCCAGACUCCUACGGGAGGCAGCAGUGGGGAAUAUUGGACAAUGGGCGCAAGCCUGAUCCAGCCAUACCGCGUGGGUGAAGAAGGCCUUCGGGUUGUAAAGCCCUUUUGUUGGGAAAGAAAUCCAGCUGGCUAAUACCCGGUUGGGUUGACGGUACCCAAAGAAUAAGCACCGGCUAACUUCGUGCCAGCCGCCGCCGUAA
rnacentral:rRNA from 1 species